GACGGUAUAGUUCAGUAGUAGAGAGUGUGCCUAGCAAACAUGAGGUCCUGGGUUCAAUCCCCAGUACCUCCU
rnacentral:tRNA from 1 species